UGGAGUGAUGGAGGUAGAUAUGUAUAGGGGGAAGGAGACAGGGACACUGGAGUGAUGGAGGUAGAUAUGUAUAGGGGGAAGGAGACAGGGAUACUGGAGUGAUGGAGGUAGAUAUGUAUAGGGGGAAGGAGACGGGGACACUGGAGUGAUGGAGGUAGAUAUGUAUAGGGGGAAGGAGACAGGGACACUGGAGUGAUGGAGGUAGAUAUGUAUAGGGGGAAGGAGACAGGGAUACUGGAGUAUGGAGGUAGAUAUGUAUAGGGGGAAGGAGACGGGGACACUGGAGUGAUGGAGGUAGAUAUGUAUAGGGGGAAGGAGACAGGGACACUGGAGUGAUGGAGGUAGAUAUGUAUAGGGGGAAGGAGACAGGGAUACUGGAGUGAUGGAGGUAGAUAUGUAUAGGGGGAAGGGGACGGGGAUACUGGAGUGAUGGAGGUAGAUAUGUAUAGGGGGAAGGAGACAGGGACACUGGAGUGAUGGAGGUAGAUAUGUAUAGGGGGAAGGAGACAGGGACACUGGAGUGAUGGAGGUAGAUAUGUAUAGGGGGAAGGAGACAGGGACACUGGAGUGAUGGAGGUAGAUAUGUAUAGGGGGAAGGAGACAGGGACACUGGAGUAUUGAGGUAGAUAUGUAUAGGGGGAAGGGGACGGGGAUACUGGAGUGAUGGAGGUAGAUAUGUAUAGGGGGAAGGGGACGGGGAUACUGGAGUGAUGGAGGUAGAUAUGUAUAGGGGGAAGGAGACGGGGACACUGGAGUGA